GACGAACGCUGGCGGCGUGCCUAAUACAUGCAAGUAGAACGCUGAAGGAAGGAGCUUGCUCUUUCUGGAUGAGUUGCGAACGGGUGAGUAACGCGUAGGUAACCUGCCUGGUAGCGGGGGAUAACUAUUGGAAACGAUAGCUAAUACCGCAUAAAAUUGAUUAUUGCAUGAUAGUCAAUUAAAAGGUGCAACUGCACCACUACCAGAUGGACCUGCGUUGUAUUAGCUAGUUGGUGGGGUAACGGCUCACCAAGGCGACGAUACAUAGCCGACCUGAGAGGGUGAUCGGCCACACUGGGACUGAGACACGGCCCAGACUCCUACGGGAGGCAGCAGUAGGGAAUCUUCGGCAAUGGACGGAAGUCUGACCGAGCAACGCCGCGUGAGUGAAGAAGGUUUUCGGAUCGUAAAGCUCUGUUGUAAGAGAAGAACGAGUGUGAGAGUGGAAAGUUCACUCUGUGACGGUAUCUUACCAGAAAGGGACGGCUAACUACGUG
rnacentral:rRNA from 1 species